rnacentral:rRNA from 1 species
AUUGAACGCUGGCGGCAUGCUUUACACAUGCAAGUCGAACGGUAACAGGCCGCAAGGUGCUGACGAGUGGCGAACGGGUGAGUAAUGCAUCGGAACGUGCCCAGUCGUGGGGGAUAACUACUCGAAAGAGUAGCUAAUACCGCAUACGAUCUAUGGAUGAAAGCGGGGGACCGUAAGGCCUCGCGCGAUUGGAGCGGCCGAUGUCAGAUUAGGUAGUUGGUGGGGUAAAGGCUCACCAAGCCAACGAUCUGUAGCUGGUCUGAGAGGACGACCAGCCACACUGGGACUGAGACACGGCCCAGACUCCUACGGGAGGCAGCAGUGGGGAAUUUUUGACAAUGGGCGCAAGCCUGAUCCAGCAAUGCCGCGUGCAGGAAGAAGGCCUUCGGGUUGUAAACUGCUUUUGUACGGAACGAAACGGCUCUGGUUAAUACCCGGGGCUAAUGACGGUACCGUAAGAAUAAGCACCGGCUAACUACGUG